rnacentral:rRNA from 1 species
GAUGAACGCUGGCGGCGUGCUUAACACAUGCAAGUCGAACGAUGAAGCCAGCUUGCUGGUGGAUUAGUGGCGAACGGGUGAGUAACACGUGAGUAACCUGCCCUUAACUCUGGGAUAAGCCUGGGAAACUGGGUCUAAUACCGGAUAUGACUUCCCAUCGCAUGGUGGGGGGUGGAAAGCUUUUGUGGUUUUGGAUGGACUCGCGGCCUAUCAGCUUGUUGGUGAGGUAAUGGCUCACCAAGGCGACGACGGGUAGCCGGCCUGAGAGGGUGACCGGCCACACUGGGACUGAGACACGGCCCAGACUCCUACGGGAGGCAGCAGUGGGGAAUAUUGCACAAUGGGCGGAAGCCUGAUGCAGCGACGCCGCGUGAGGGAUGACGGCCUUCGGGUUGUAAACCUCUUUCAGUAGGGAAGAAGCGUAAGUGACGGUACCUGCAGAAGAAGCGCCGGCUAACUACGUGCCAGCAGCCGCAGUAACAC